rnacentral:rRNA from 1 species
UGACAGUACUCCUACGGGGAGGCAGCAGUGGGGGAAUAGUUGCACAAUGGGGCGCAAGCCUGAUGCAGCCAUGCCGCGUGUGUGAAGAAGGCCUUCGGGUUGUAAAGCACUUUCAGUCGUGAGGAAGGUAGUGUAGUUAAUAGCUGCAUUAUUUGACGUUUAGCGACAGAAGAAGCACCGGCUAACUCCGUGCCAGCAGCCGCGGUAAUACGGAGGGUGCGAGCGUUAAUCGGAAUUACUGGGCGUAAAGCGCAUGCAGGUGGUUUGUUAAGUCAGAUGUGAAAGCCCGGGGCUCAACCUCGGAAUAGCAUUUGAAACUAGGCAGACUAGAGUACUGUAGAGGGGGGUAGGAAUUUCAGGUGUAGCGGUGAAAUGCGUAGAGAUCUGAAGGAAUACCGGUGGCGAAGGCGGCCCCCUCGGACAGAUACUGACACUCAGAUGCGAAAGCGUGGGGAGCAAACAGGAUUAGAUACCCUGGUAG